GGAACCAACCACAGUAGACAUAGCACGCUUCAUCAAAGAUGCACCAGAUGCAGCGGCACUGUCUCCAUCAUUGGUGAAAUGGGAUAUGAUUAGUGGACGGUCAUCACUUAGUAACUCACCAACACAAUUAGUGGCCCAUCUCUUCUCAUCUCCAAUGGUGGUCUCAGGAGGAAUGGUUGCAGUGCAGUCUUCAUGUCCUGGACAGGUCUGUUGCAUGUUGGCGGCUGAUGCUGGUU